rnacentral:rRNA from 1 species
UACGGAGGGUGCGAGCGUUAAUCGGAAUUACUGGGCGUAAAGGGUGCGUAGGUGGUUGUAUAAGUUAUCUGUGAAAUUCCUGGGCUUAACCUGGGGUGGUCAGAUAAGACUGUACGACUCGAGUAUGGGAGAGGGUAGUGGAAUUUCCGGUGUAGCGGUGAAAUGCGUAGAGAUCGGAAGGAACACCAGUGGCGAAGGCGGCUACCUGGCCUAAUACUGACACUGAGGCACGAAAGCGUGGGGAGCAAACAGG